rnacentral:lncRNA from 1 species
CACAACAGUAAAUUGAAUAUAAUCAUACUACUCAUUAGUGAUGAGUUUUCAUUAGAUGUUUACAAAUUUUAGCACAUAACUAGGUAAUAUAUGCGUCACACACCUCGAUUGGAAUGGAUUAGUUCUUUAUCCAUAGAUCGGAGAUAUUCUUGGUAAUACAAAAACAAGUAAGUAAUACAUGCCUAAUUUUAAAGGAAAAAUAAAAUAAUUAAAUACCAUCUUUCUUUCUCAAGUAUUUAGGGCAUUGGCUAUACAUAUAAUAGGAAAUGGUCAUUAACAUCAUCACCUUCCCAUGCAUAACAUUCUGAAGUCAAAAUUGUAAUUGGCAAUAUAUCAAUCACAAUAAGCAAAAUAAAAAAAAAAACAUAUACAUACAAAAGAACCUCUUGCAUUCAGCACAACAUAACAUGUUCAAGGUUUCUUUGAAUUAUGCAUUCCAGAACAGCCACCAGAACCUAGUAUCUUAUAGUUCACGAAUCUGCUAGGAGCUGAGUUAUGUCUAGACCCUUUUGGCAAACAACCUUUUACUUCUCUUCCUUUAAAUAUUUUCUCUUUGUGAUUCAAAUGUGGCUUCACAUAAGUUUCAACUUCUGAUGAAACUAUUGGUCUUGUAACUGUACUUGGAGCACUAAGGGGAAUGAUCCUUCCACCCAUUGUUAUGCCAAGAAAAUUUAGUGAAAGAAGGAAGCAUAGUACCACAAGGGAAAAAUGUGUAGUAGACAUUUGAGUUUCUUUUUUCUUUUUCUUUUUGAAUUUCUAAAGUCUCUUAUUUGAGUUUAUGAAUGGAGAGGUUUAAAAGAGAUUUUAUGGUAGAUUGUUGUGAAGGGUUUGGAACUAAGUGCCUUAAAU